AUAGUUUGAUCNUGGCUCAAGAUGAACGUUGGCGGCGUGCCUAAUACAUGCAAGUCNAACGGUAGNGGACCAUUCNNGCUNCUNGAGAGUGGCGAACGGGUGAGUAACACGUAACUGAUCUGCCCNUUANACUGGGAUAACCUUUGGAAACAGAGGCUAAUACCGGAUNAGCUCGCGGUAGUUAUAGAGCCGUGAGGAAAGGNUUAUGCGCUNNGGGAUGAGGUUGCGGGCCAUCANCUGGUUGGUGAGGUAAAGGCUUACCAAGGCGAUGACGGUUAGGGGACCUGAGAGGGUGGCCCCCCACACUGGGACUGAGACACGGCCCAGACUCCUACGGGAGGCAGCAGUAAGGGAUAUUGCACAAUGGACGGAAGUCUGAUGCAGCCACGCCGCGUGGGUGAAGAAGGUUUUCNGAUCGUAAAGCCCUUUUCUNUGUGACGAGANAGGACGGUAGCNUAGGAAUAAGUGUCGGCUAACUACGUGCCC
rnacentral:rRNA from 1 species